rnacentral:rRNA from 1 species
UAGGGAAUCUUCGGCAAUGGACGAAAGUCAGACCGAGCAACGCCGCGUGAGUGAAGAAGGUUUUCGGAUCGCAAAACUCUGUUGGUAGAGAAGAACGUUGGUGAGAGUGGAAAGCUCAUCAAGUGACGGUAACUACCCAGAAAGGGACGGCUAACUACGUGCCAG